GAUGAACGCUGGCGGCGUGCCUAAUACAUGCAAGUCGAGCGAACAGACGAGGAGCUUGCUCCUCUGACGUUAGCGGCGGACGGGUGAGUAACACGUGGAUAACCUACCUAUAAGACUGGGAUAACUUCGGGAAACCGGAGCUAAUACCGGAUAAUAUAUUGAACCGCAUGGUUCAAUAGUGAAAGAUGGUUUUGCUGUCACUUAUAGAUGGAUCCGCGCCGCAUUAGCUAGUUGGUAAGGUAACGGCUUACCAAGGCAACGAUGCGUAGCCGACCUGAGAGGGUGAUCGGCCACACUGGAACUGAGACACGGUCCAGACUCCUACGGGAGGCAGCAGUAGGGAAUCUUCCGCAAAGGGCGAAAGCUUGACGGAGCAACGCCGCGUGAGUGAUGAAGGUCUUCGGAUCGUAAAACUCUGUUAUUAGGGAAGAACAAAUGUGUAAGUAACUAUGCACGUCUUGACGGUACCUAAUCAGAAAGCCACGGCUAACUACGUG
rnacentral:rRNA from 1 species